rnacentral:rRNA from 1 species
UACGGAGGGUGCAAGCGUUGCUCGGAAUUAUUGGGCGUAAAGCGCACGCAGGCGGCACGGUAAGUCAGUUGUGAAAUUCCUGGGCUUAACUCGGGAGCUGCAGCUGAUACUGCCGAGCUUGAGUACGGAAGAGGGGAGCGGAAUUCCCAGUGUAGAGGUGAAAUUCGUAGAUAUUGGGAGGAACACCGGUGGCGAAGGCGGCUCCCUGGUCCGAUACUGACGCUCAUGUGCGAAAGCGUGGGGAGCAAACAGG